GCCCAAGCAGCCGAGCCGAGCAGAGCCGAGUGCCCAAGCGCCGCGGGGCGAAGCGGCCCUCCCCACCCAGCGGCCGCGCCGCCGCCCUGCCCCGGGCGGAGUAAACAAGAGACGCGCAAGAUUUGACCUGGCGCGACCCGGAUUUCUGGCCGGGGUUCCCCCUGAGCAGAAAACUUCUGAAGUCAAAACCAAAACUGGCAUUGGUAAACUGUGCACUCAGCCCUAAGGAGAUCUAUGGAAAGUGAGGCUGGCUGGAGCAUAGCUGACCCCAUCUAGGCACCCAUAUGGAGCAUCACAACAAGAAAAGUCGCUUCCGGCUGCCAUCUCAAGCUUGAUGGCAAGAGUGCAGCGUUGUUCAUGGAGCAUGAAAGCAGCUUGCAGAGUCCUGCUGACUGGUAUGAACCCACGAGGAAAUAAAGUUUUUCAUUCAUGUG